rnacentral:rRNA from 1 species
GAUGAACGCUGGCGGCGUGCUUAACACAUGCAAGUCGAACGAAGCACUUUUAUUUGAUUUCUUCGGAAUGAAGAUUUUAGUGACUGAGUGGCGGACGGGUGAGUAACGCGUGGGUAACCUGCCUCAUACAGGGGGAUAACAGUUAGAAAUGACUGCUAAUACCGCAUAAGACAACAGCACCGCAUGGUGCAGAGGUAAAAACUCCGGUGGUAUGAGAUGGAGCCGCGUCUGAUUAGGUAGUUGGUGGGGUAACGCCCUACCAAGCCGACGAUCAGUAGCCGACCUGAGAGGGUGACCGGCCACAUUGGGACUGAGACACGGCCCAAACUCCUACGGGAGGCAGCAGUGGGGAAUAUUGCACAAUGGGGGAAACCCUGAUGCAGCGACGCCGCGUGAGCGAUGAAGUAUUUCGGUAUGUAAAGCUCUAUCAGCAGGGAAGAAAAUGACGGUACCUGACUAAGAAGCACCGGCUAAAUACGUGCCAGCCGCCGCCGUAA